AUACGGAGGGUGCAAGCGUUGCUCGGAAUCACUGGGCGUAAAGCGUACGCAGGCGGCCAAUUAAGUUGGAUGUGAAAGCCCUGGGCUCAACCCGGGAACUGCAUUCAAAACUGGUUGGCUUGAGUGUGAGAGAGGGAAGUGGAAUUCCAGGUGUAGAGGUGAAAUUCGUUGAUAUCUGGAGGAACACCGGCGGCGAAGGCGGCUUCCUGGCUCACAACUGACGCUCAUGUACGAAAGCGUGGGUAGCAAACAGGAUUAGAUACCCUGGUAGUCCACGCCGUAAACGAUGUUUGCUAGGUGUUGGUGGAAUUCACCCCAUCAGUGCCGCAGUUAACGCAUUAAGCAAACCGCCUGGGGAGUACGGUCGCAAGAUUAAA
rnacentral:rRNA from 1 species